GGCACGGUUCCGGAAGCUAAGGAAACAGCAUUGUGAAUGGGGGUCAGUCAGCCAUGCAGCUUUGCCAUGUUACUUUUGGAUGCCAGGCUGAUGAUCCUUUGGAUGCUGAGACUGACUUCCAGAGUCUCUUCUACUUAAGAACCUCUUCCUGGGAAAUGACUGACUGAUGUCACUGUCCGAUAUCCAGGGACUUCCCCAUAGAUGCAUCCAAGGCUUGGAAUGAAGGCCAACUGUCCGUCUGUCAUAAGCGAAAGGCUGGAGGCCCAGGUGGAACCAGUGAGAGCCCUGGGGGGCUGAAGCUUGCAGUCAGGCUGGAUCUGGGGCUGAAGACUGCAAAUCCGCCCCUCUUUCCCUUACAGACAAAGCACUUGGGAUUCCUCCGGCACUGUUCUGUUUCAACGAAUUCCACACAUUUUUUGAAAGCCUAUUGUGUGGUAAUCCAAACUGUCUUGUAGAGGGAAGUUUGUGUAGGCUGUUUCCACCCAGCCGAAGAUAAAUCCUCAGGAGACUGUAUUCAAACAGCUUUCUAGUCUGCCCACCUCAGCUGCGUACCUGA